GACGAACGCUGGCGGCGUGCCUAAUACAUGCAAGUCGAGCGGAAGUUGGAGAGCUUGCUCUUCAACUUUAGCGGCGGACGGGUGAGUAACACGUGGGCAACCUGCCCUGCAGAUCGGGAUAACUCCGGGAAACCGGUGCUAAUACCGAAUAGUUUUCGCCACCUCCUGGUGGCGUACGGAAAGACGGUUUCGGCUGUCUCUGCAGGAUGGGCCCGCGGCGCAUUAGCUAGUUGGUGGGGUAACGGCCCACCAAGGCAACGAUGCGUAGCCGACCUGAGAGGGGCAUCGGCCGCACUGAGACUGAGACACGGCCCAGACUCCUACGGGAGGCAGCAGUAGGGAAUCUUCCGCAAUGGACGAAAGUCUGACGGAGCAACGCCGCGUGAGUGACGAAGGUUUUCGGAUCGUAAAACUCUGUUGUGAGGGAAGAACAAGUACCAACUAACUACUGGUACCUUGACGGUACCUCACCAGAAAGCCACGGCUAACUACGUGCCAGCCGCCGCCGUAAUAC
rnacentral:rRNA from 1 species